GGAUGUGAGGGCAAUCUGGCUGUGACACCUGUCACCCCAUUGAUCACCAGGGUUGAUUCUGCUGAUCUGGCUGGCUAGGCGGGAGUCCCCUUCCUCCCUCACCACUCCAUGUGCGUCCCUCCCGAAGCUGCCCUCUCGGUUGAAGAGGACGGCCUUCCUCGAAUAGAGACGGACGGGUCUUCGAUCUAGGGUAUAUGAGUAGUUGUGCUCCCCUGCUAGAACCUCCAAACAAGCUCUCAAGGGGUUUCUAGAAGACUGUCUCAUUUGAAAAGGCAAGGGUAUUUGUCCCUUCCCAU
ensembl:misc_RNA 7SK 7SK RNA